rnacentral:rRNA from 1 species
UACGUAGGGUGCAAGCGUUUGUCCGGAAUUAUUGGGCGUAAAGAGCUCGUAGGCGGUUUGUCGCGUCGGCUGUGAAAACCCGGGGCUCAACCCCGGGCCUGCAGUCGAUACGGGCAAACUAGAGUGCGGUAGGGGAGACUGGAAUUCCUGGUGUAGCGGUGAAAUGCGCAGAUAUCAGGAGGAACACCGGUGGCGAAGGCGGGUCUCUGGGCCGUAACUGACGCUGAGGAGCGAAAGCGUGGGGGAGCGAACAGG